UACAGAGGGUGCAAACGUUGCUCGGAAUUAUUGGGCGUAAAGCGCGUGUAGGCGGCUUGUUAAGUUGGUCGUGAAAGCCCAUGGCUCAACCAUGGAAGUGCAACCAAAACUGGCAAGCUAGAGUCCCGAAGAGGAUGGCGGAAUUCCCAGUGUAGAGGUGAAAUUCGUAGAUAUUGGGAGGAACAUCGGUGGCGAAGGCGGCCAUCUGGGAGGGUACUGACGCUGAGACGCGAAAGCGUGGGUAGCAAACAGG
rnacentral:rRNA from 1 species